rnacentral:rRNA from 1 species
GCAGCCGCCGCGGUAACACGAAGGGUGCAAGCGUUAAUCGGAAUUACUGGGCGUAAAGCGUGCGUAGGCGGUUUGUUAAGUCUGUUGUGAAAUCCCCGGGCUCAACCUGGGUAUGGCAAUGGAUACUGGCAAGCUGGAGUGUGUCAGAGGAUGGUGGAAUUCCCGGUGUAGCGGUGAAAUGCGUAGAGAUCGGGAGGAACAUCAAUGGCGAAGGCGGCCAUCUGGGACAACACUGACGCUGAGGCACGAAAGCGUGGGGAGCAAACAGGAUUAGAUACCCCUGUAGUCCCUGUCUCUUAUAC